rnacentral:rRNA from 1 species
GGGUUGUGAGGUUAAGCGACUAAGCGUACACGGUGGAUGCCCUGGCAGUCAGAGGCGAUGAAGGGCGUGCUAAUCUGCGAUAAGCGCCGGUAAGGUGAUAUGAACCGUUAUAACCGGCGAUACCCGAAUGGGGAAACCCAGUGUGACUCGUCACACUAUCAUUAACUGAAUCCAUAGGUUAAUGAGGCGAACCGGGGGAACUGAAACAUCUAAGUACCCCGAGGAAAAGAAAUCAACCGAGAUUCCCCCAGUAGCGGCGAGCGAACGGGGAGGAGCCCAGAGCCUGAAUCAGCAUGUGUGUUAGUGGAAGCGUCUGGAAAGGCGCGCGAUACAGGGUGACAGCCCCGUACACAAAAGCGCAUGUGCUGUGAGCUCGAUGAGUAGGGCGGGACACGUGGUAUCCUGUCUGAAUAUGGGGGGACCAUCCUCCAAGGCUAAAUACUCCUGACUGACCGAUAGUGAACCAGUACCGUGAGGGAAAGGCGAAAAGAACCCCGGCGAGGGGAGUGAAAAAGAACCUGAAACCGUGUACGUACAAGCAGUGGGAGCACCCUUUGGGGUGUGACUGCGUACCUUUUGUAUAAUGGGUCAGCGACUUAUAUUCUGUAGCAAGGUUAACCGAAUAGGGGAGCCGGAGGGAAACCGAGUCUUAAUUGGGCGUUAAGUUGCAGGGUAUAGACCCGAAACCCGGUGAUCUAGCCAUGGGCAGGUUGAAGGUUGGGUAACACUAACUGGAGGACCGAACCGACUAAUGUUGAAAAAUUAGCGGAUGACCUGUGGCUGGGGGUGAAAGGCCAAUCAAACCGGGAGAUAGCUGGUUCUCCCCGAAAGCUAUUUAGGUAGCGCCUCGUGAACUCAUCUCCGGGGGUAGAGCACUGUUUCGGCUAGGGGGCCAUCCCGGCUUACCAACCCGAUGCAAACUGCGAAUACCGGAGAAUGUUAUCACGGGAGACACACGGCGGGUGCUAACGUCCGUCGUGAAGAGGGAAACAACCCAGACCGCCAGCUAAGGUCCCAAAGUCAUGGUUAAGUGGGAAACGAUGUGGGAAGGCCCAGACAGCCAGGAUGUUGGCUUAGAAGCAGCCAUCAUUUAAAGAAAGCGUAAUAGCUCACUGGUCGAGUCGGCCUGCGCGGAAGAUGUAACGGGGCUAAACCAUGCACCGAAGCUGCGGCAGCGA